GUGCUCAAUUCGGCAACACAUAUACUAAAAUUGGAAUGAUACAGAGAAGAUUAGCAUGGCCCUUGCCAAAGGAUGACACGCAAGUUCAUGAAACGGUCCAUAUUUUU
ensembl:snRNA U6 U6 spliceosomal RNA